rnacentral:tRNA from 1 species
GCCUCCGUGGUUUAGUGGUUAGAGCGUUAGGCUCUCGUUCUGGAGGUCCGGGUUCGAUUCCCGAUGGGGACA